rnacentral:rRNA from 1 species
UGCAGAAUCCCGUGAACCAUCGAGUCUUUGAACGCAAGUUGCGCCCAAGGCCAUUAGGCCGAGGGCACGUCUGCCUGGGCGUCACRC